rnacentral:rRNA from 1 species
UACGUAGGGGGCAAGCGUUGUCCGGAUUUAUUGGGCGUAAAGAGCGUGUAGGCGGCCAGACAGGUCAGCUGUGAAAACUCGAGGCUCAACCUCGAGACGUCGGUUGAAACCAUCUGGCUAGAGUCCGGAAGAGGAGAGUGGAAUUCCUGGUGUAGCGGUGAAAUGCGCAGAUAUCAGGAAGAACACCUAUGGCGAAGGCAGCUCUCUGGGACGGUACUGACGCUGAGACGCGAAAGCGUGGGGAGCGAACAGG